GUUGGUCAAUGAGUGACCAUUCAACUUCGCUUCUCUGUAUAAUUUUAAAACCCCAGGAAAGUUGUGCUUCAAGACAAGCUUUAAAUGCUUUCAUUUCGGAGUUUAAUCUUCUUGUUCCAGUCAAAAUAGUUCGUGACAGGACAUCAUGGGAGCAGGUACUUUAUGCGUCUCUUUCUUCAACAAUUAUCUUAUUUAUGAAAACACUUCAGUUAGACAAUUCAAUCUGAUUACUCUUAUUUAUGGAUAUAAAAUUUUCAUAAAAUGUUACAUAAACUAUACUUAUUUUUUUAAAAUUGGUACUUAAAUAUUUCUUUUGUCACAAGUGAUACUUAUAGUAUAUUCCGUUAUUCAAAGUGGUACUUAAACGAUACCUUUUUUCUCAAGUAGCACCUAAAUUAUAUUUUGUUAUCUAAAUUACUUUAGUUGUUAAAAAAAUCUCUUAGCUAAUUAUUUUGUGAUAACUAAAAAAACCAAAAAAAAGUCGAAUAUUAGUUUCCUUUUUUUUUAAUUUAGAAAAUAUUCAUCUAUUUGUUCGUCACCCAAGAACUUUGAUAACAGAAAAUUUGAGAAUCUGUUGAAAACCUCAUCCAAAUCCUGUUUUUGAUGACAAAACUCAGAUUCCAAUUACUUUUUUCAUUUUUAAACCUAGAUUUCGAUUAUUUUCUCAUGCCAAUUCAAAAUCUAAGUAUUAUUUUAAAAAAAAUAAAUUUCAUCCUUUUUUAUUACUUUACAUAUAUAGUUAAUGUUGGGUGAACUUCUAAUAAAAAAAUCAUAUAAAGCAUGAAAAUCAAUAACGUUUUCGAACUUUUUUUUUUUGUCACCUAACCAUUAAGUGGCCAACAAUGACAUUUUUUUAGUUGGUAUAAUGACAAUUUUAGUCAUCAAAUUUUAUAUUUUAAGUCUAUUUGACUCUAAUUCUAUAUAAAUGAUAAAAAUAAAAAUUCUUUUUAAAAAAAUAAAAAAGUAUACAAAAUAUAAAAAUACAUAGAAAAUUUUAAAAAAUAAAAUGAAAAAAGAUUAAAUUUUCAAGAAUAGUUAAAGUGAAAAAUUAAGGAAAAUGAUUUUCCAUUGUAAGAAAAGUAAAAGAAAAAUAUUCAAAAUCGAUUUGGGUUUUGAAAAUUAAUUUAAAUGAUUUUAAAUUUUGAAAUGAGUUUGAAAAAGAAAAUGUUGUGUUUAUUUUGUAUUUUUAUUUGUCUAAAAAGUUUUGGAAGUUCUUUAAUAACAUGAAACUCGACUUGAAGAUAUUACUAGUUUGGUUUUGUUCUAUUUUUAAUUUGUUAUCAGAUUUUAUUUAAUGACCAUUUUCAUUCUUAUGUCUCCAUAUUGAACAAUCUUGAGCUUUACUAUAAUAGAAUCUUGAGUUUUCUUGAAUGAUCAUUAGUUUUUUUUUUUUAUAUUUAACCUUUAUACCAUAUGAAUAUUAUGUUAAGAGAUUAAAAUUAAUAUAUUCUUUUUUUAUUAUCUAUUUUCAUGAUUUAUUGGUAAUCUUGAAGAUUUGUUUGCAAUAAUAUUCAGAAAUUAAUUUUUAAAACUUUUAUAUAGAAUUAGGGUUAAAUAAACAAAAUGUAUAAAUGUAUAAACAAAAAUUUACCUAUAAUUGAGCGAUUACUAAUGUACUGUUACAAUCAAGUCCAUAUUUUCAGUAGUUCAUCUGUCGAUCUCAAUUUUAAUCCAGACUGCAAAAAACACAUCCUUGCCUAAUUAUUAAUUGCGGAACAACAUCAUUCUACAAAAAUAAUAUACAUUCAUCCAUUUAACUACCUUGUAUCAAUGCAUCUUCCUGAAAAAACAAAGAUACACCUAUUUACAUUCCAUGACUUAAACUUCUUUGAGAAUCAAAGUUUCUGAAAAAUAGAACAAUUGCAUGCUUACUCUCAAACUGUUUCUACUAUAUACAUAACUAUCACGAAGAGAGAGAGAGAGAGGGGGGGGUGCAGAAAAAAAAGCCUGCACUACAAUCAAGCAGCCAAAAAUCUGCAACAACAAAAAAAAGACUAAUCAAUUGUGAAGUGGGUUUGGUCCUCCUGGAACUGUUCGAUAGGAAACUUCAUGAAUUGGUCGACUCUUUUCUGCUUUAGAUUCCUCAGAAGACUUUGUAGGGAAGUGCCAUGCGAAGAAAUCUGUCUUGCUUGGUUGUUCAUCUUCAUUACUUAGGCGCCUAUGGAUGUAUCGGCAACUUGAGAAGGCGAUGGUGGAAGAGAGUAUAAUGAUAAUAAUAAACAACAAAAAUGAGAAUUUGGGAUUCCUUAUUCUCAUGAUUUUAAUCAAAGAGAAAGGGCAGAAGAUGAAGUUUGUGGAAUUGAGUUUAUGCACUUCAUAAAGAGGCAGGUAGUAGGUCUAUAUUGAUACGAGAUCAAAGCAUUAAGCAGCAACCAAUGGUGAAAGACGUUGUCAAAAUCUAGCAAUAAAUUCAGCUUUGUAUAAUGACAGAAAUACCCUUCAAACUUUAUCUAAAUCUGCCAUCCUCUUAUUAAUUACUCCCUGCCACAUCAGUAUGAAACUAGUAAUCUCUGACCCAACUUUGUAAUGGAGAUAUGGUUGCUUUGUGAAAGAUAAAAAAGCAAUAGAAAAGGGUUUAAUUUGGAUCAAAUCUUAAUCCCAAUUUGGGUUUGUGAAGAUCAAUUAUUGAUGCUUGAAUGAACAUGGAGAUGUUCGUAA
rnacentral:lncRNA from 1 species